GACGAACGCUGGCGGCGUGCUUAACACAUGCAAGUCGAACGGAAAGGCCCUUCGGGGUACUCGAGUGGCGAACGGGUGAGUAACACGUGGGUGAUCUGCCUCGUACUCUGGGAUAAGCCUGGGAAACUGGGUCUAAUACUGGAUAGGACCUUCUCUCGCAUGGGGGUUGGUGGAAAGUUUUUCGGUACGAGAUGGGCCCGCGGCCUAUCAGCUUGUUGGUGGGGUAAUGGCCUACCAAGGCGACGACGGGUAGCCGGCCUGAGAGGGCGACCGGCCACACUGGGACUGAGGCACGGCCCAGACUCCUACGGGAGGCAGCAGUGGGGAAUAUUGCACAAUGGGCGCAAGCCUGAUGCAGCGACGCCGCGUGAGGGAUGACGGCCUUCGGGUUGUAAACCUCUUUCACCAGGGGCGAAUUUAGACGGUACCUGGAGAAGAAGCACCGGCCAACUACGUGCCAGCCGCCGCGGUAA
rnacentral:rRNA from 1 species